GCAACCAGAGAUUCGAGAAUCCAUGGUGGCAACAUCGAACGUCAUGAUUGCUAACCAACUUAGACUAGCCACAUUGACAAGGUUGUCUAACGUUAUCGGAAAAGGGGUGCAAGUUGAUGAUACGAAUUGAAAAUAGCUUUUAAACAAACUUGCCAACGUGUCUUCUUGCCUAACUGUGCUAGUUAAUGAACACAUAUGAUUACGGUGUUGGGCGAGGUACUUCAGUACUGGUCUAAGAUGCUGCCCAGGUGUUUGUACGCCUAACGUUAACCAUCCAGUUUAUUAGCCCAGAUGAUCACAACUUUUCUAUCCUCAUUUUUUGGCUGAGUUAGUAAUUAAUUAAUUUACUUAAUAGCAAUUAUUCAUAAUGCAGCUUUUUCGGAGUGCUAUUCCAUUCAGACGUUUUUAUUCUGAUGGAGAACCCGCACCACCAGCCAGCAGCACACCUGUCAUCAGACCUCCUCCAGAUGGUGGCUGGGGUUGGGUGAUUGUAUUUUCAUCUUUUCUAUAUAACGUGUUGGUCUUGGGCUAUCAUAACUCAUUUGGAGUGUACCUUAUCAGUCUUCUUGACACAUUUGGAGAGACGAGCCAAAAGACAGCCUGGGUCGGAUCUAUCAGCUAUGGUUUCAUCAUGAUCUGUGGCCCAUUAUCAGGGAAGCUAACUGUGAAGUAUGGUGCCAGAGAAAUCUCCAUUAUUGGAUCCAUUAUCAUCAUGAUCUCCAUCAUAUGCUCUUCUUAUGCCUCUUCCCUGGGUGUCCUGUUCUUCACGCAUGGCUUUCUCACAGGAGUGGGUUCAAGCUUCGCUUUCACUCCAGGCAUGAUCAUGAUAAGCCAGUACUUCACGACCAAUCGAGCUCUGGCCACCGGGAUAGUGAUGUCUGGGGGUGCAGCAGGUGCUCUGGUCCA